rnacentral:snRNA from 1 species
GGAUGUGAGGGUGAUCUGGUGCGACAUCUGUCACCCCAUUGAUCGCCAAGAUUGAUUCGGCUGAUCCGGUUGGCUAGGUGGGUGUCCCCUUCCUCCCUCACUGCUCCAUGUGUGUCCCUCCCGAAGCUACAUGCUCUGCUCCCUCAAAGAGGAUGGCCUUUCCCGGAAUAGAGAUGGACCGGUCUCCAUUGAGGGUAUACGAGUAGCCUUUCCCGGAAUAGAGAUGGACCGGUCUCCAUUGAGGGUAUACGAGUAGCUGCGCUAUCCUGCUAGAAACUUCAAACAAGCUCUCAGAGAUGAGAAAGCUAGAGUUACUUGGAGAACAGAGAAGCUCAGCGUAGCUCAUCAUGAAUUGGGAUGCUCA